ACAUGUGGAGUUAGCCAUGCCUCUAGCUAUGCUGGAAUAGUCAAACCUUAUGGGAACAUAACUUACUAGGUUUUACAUUAAAGUUAAAUUGCUAAGAGUCACCAUUGUAUCAUGCAGUUAAGACUCCUAGAAACAGUUUUACAAGCAAGAACAGGAAGGGAUUGUUUAGCUGAAAUGGAAGAUUUGAUAUCUGAACAAGGAGUUCUAAAUAAUUCUCUGCACCUUAAUCUGCCAAUACUCACUCUAAAACUACACAAAGGAGAUUCAAAAUAAAAAGAGGAUGAUAAACGGCAAAACCAUCUGAGCACUUCUUUAAUUUCUUCUUCUAACAACUGUGAAGUGGUCAAAAGGCAGAAAUGAGGAGGAAAGCAAAAAAGAAGAAGCCACAGGGUGUAGAUAAUCCACAAACAAGCUAAUUGGUCCCUGGGUAAUUGCUGACUCUCUUCAGCAGCCAUGCAAUGGAGAUUUCCAGGAAAAUGUAAAUACUGUAUUUAUAUCUGUUCAAAUUUUGUUUUCAAGAAUAAAAGUACUAAUCAGAUGGGUUUAAGUAUUUGAUAAGAAUCUCUAAUCUAUGGCUGUUUUCUAAAUAUUUGGACAUUGUCAUUGCUUUACCAUGCAGUUUUAUUUUUACUCAGCUGUAACUGAACACAAUUCUAACUAUAGCACUGGAAACUAGAUUGGAAACUGUAUUCUCCUCUGUGCCUUAUUUCUCUUCUCUCUUCGUAUUGUGGUUCUUACUCAGUUCUGUCAGUGACAAGCUAUAUAACCUUGUUCAAUUAUUUUACCAUCAUUAGACAAAAGGGUUUUAAUUUCCUAAAUACUAAUAUAUUACAACAUAAAGGUGUUUAUGCAUUCUUAAAAAAAAUUAAAGGGUGUCUAUUUCAUGACAGUUACUUGGCUUCAUCAUGGAAGAAACACAAGUGAUGGCUAAAUCACAAUACCUGUUUUAAAGAACUAACAUUCUAGUAGGGGAAAAAGGGGGUGAAGACAAAUGACAAUAAUGAGAAACCCUACAAUUUCUACUUGAAAUUGUGAAAACAAAAUACAAAGAGAGAACUUCAACUCGUAAAGGGGCAGUGGAUAAAACUUUAUUGAGAAAAUUGUAUUUGAUCUGGGCUUCCAAAGAUUGUGAAAAUUUUGACAGGCUGGGAUGUCACAGACAAUGGGAAAUUAUGAAGAAUGAAAAGGAAGAUGGAAGCUGUAGAGUUGGGAAGAACAGAGAAUUUUUAGGAAAAUGUGCGUAGUAUUGUUUGGUUGAAGCCCUUAGUAUAUGUAAAUGAGUUGUUGGACACAGGUUGUAAAGGCAAGCUGGGGCUUUUAAAUUCAGGAACAACAUGAUUUGAUAGCGAAUUUCUUUUUUUUUUUUUUUUUUUUAGCAAAGCAGUUGUUCUUUAUAAUUAUUUAACUUAAUAUCACAUGUGGUAUCAAUAAGGAAAAGAGACUGGAUAGGUAAGGUCAGUGAGGAGGCUGUUUCAAUGGCCUUUUAGAAAGGCUAUUGGAAACUGAAUUGGGACAGUAGUAAUAGAAAUUGUAAAAAAAGAAUAGAUGUAAAAGGUACUGUAACUGUAAAAGACAAACUACUUAAAGUGUAAACAGACACGUUUUCUAUAUAGAGGGAGAAUAAAAAUAUUAAUAUUUCAAGCUGGUUGAGUGGAGAAUGAUGGUUCCAUUACAUGAAAUAAGAAGAUCCAAAGAGGAAUGCAUGUGUAACAAAGUUAUUUGUAAUUGUGGACACUGAGUACAAAGCACUAAUAAUUAACCAAUUGAUCACUGAAUGAUGUGUACUUGAGUUUUUGGAGAGACUUUAAUGUUGGAAAUAAUAUCUUUGGUCAAACUAUAAAAGAGGAUGAACUAACCAAAAAUAUAUAGGCAAGAGUGAGGAUAUAGCCUUAGAAUAAUGCCACAAUUUGGAAGUUUGAGAAGAAAAUAUGACACACAAAUUACACAGAGAAAGCAUCAAAAGAGAACACAAGUAGUAAAUGUUCCUAGAAAUAAGAAAAAGAGAGGAAAAAAAUGUAGCAGACAGAUAAAAAGAGCUAAAGGAACAAUGACGGUAAAAUUUACAAAUCUUUUAAAGAUUUACCAUGCAAUUUGAGUAACCAAUGCUAAAAUUAUCCUCUAAAUUUCAACCUAGAUGUUUUUAGUGAAUAAUGUUUAUUAUCACAGCAAAGGUGUAUUUAAAAAUUUUAGUAUGAGUGCCAGACUAGUAUUGAGGCUAUGAAUGGAAACAUGGAUGUGAAAAAAUGCUAAUUAUAAACAUGAACCAUCUUGGUCUUUAAUAAAUACAAAACCUCAACAGUCUAGGAUGGUUAAAAUUUGCUACUGUUCAUUGUCUUAUCCCUAGAACGAUCCCUCUUGAAGAUACCUAUAGACAUAUUGUAUGAAAUGUUUCUUUUAUAGUGAUACAAGAAAUGAUUAUAUAACUUCACAUCCCAUUUGAAUUCCCGGAACAGUGACAUGAUAUUUAAUGCAUUUCAGUUAAAGACAAGUUGUUGCAAGCCUAUUUCUUGUAAGCAUAUUUUUGGUAAAUCUAUACAAACUAAGGUGGAAGCCGGGGGUUAAGAGUGGGGAGUGGCAUGCAAGGCUUAUACAGGUUCCCAGUGCAGAAAGUCUAGAGGUAACAUGUCUUGGAAACUUUAGUUUAAUACUGACUUGAUUCUACAGUUUAUCUAGUCUAGAGGAUUCCAAGAAAUAGAUUCUAGUGACCAGUGAGUGUUUGGAAAUCAUAAAGAUAUUUGGGGUCUUUUAGAAUGAAACUAUCUUGGGAUCAUCUUAUGUUUUCCUGGAUAGGCAUUGUAAGUAUGUGCUUUAAUGGUUUACAAAUACCAGAAAUGGCUUUGUGUUUCAGAUCUGCUAAACAGAGAUUGGUAUAUGUGAUGGUACAAAGACACAAAAUAUAAUUUAACUAUAUUGUUUCUACAUUUCUUUUUUAAUUAAAAAUUUUU
rnacentral:lncRNA from 10 species